AGACGGAAAUCAUCCAAGAAUCUAAAAAGCCCUCGCUAUUUAUAUCCUCUCAUUCCCCUCUUAUCAAACAAGUCUUACAAAGAAGAUAUAAGUGUAUGGAGUUUCAGCCUAUUUAUAUGAAAGGCAGCCCUCAGCCCUGCAACGCCAGUACAUCAUACCAGUGUCUCUAUAUAGUCUUUCAUAUAUAUCAUCACGCACCACUGAUAGUUGAAGCUGCCAGCAUGAUCUAGCUAUCCAUCCCUCCUUUAGUUUAUCUUUCAGGGAGAAAACUAGAUCAUAUGGCAGUUUCGUCUGUCCAUGGUAGCAUGAACAAAACCCUAUUUUCCGGUACAAAACCCUGGUAUUGAAAAAGGUGUGUGUAAUUUCUGUUUUUUUCUUUCUUUCAGAAAACCUUAUAUAAAUUCAGCUUUUACUCUUUUGUUCUUUUACAACACAUGCUUCAUUUAUAGCAGAUUUAUUUGAAGGAUCUUAUAUAAGGAUGUUUGUUAGGGUUUAAGUGACCAGAUUCCUUUUACUUGGGCUUUGAUAAAAGUGUUAAAUACAGGGUUGCAAGACCAGACACUUUUCACAACAUUUUUUCAAUCUCAAUUCUUACUUACCAAAAAAAAGAGGUGUCCUAACAUUCAUAGGUUUUGAAGCUCAAUCAAAGUGAACAACAAAGUUUGAUAAGGGUCAAUUCUCCACUGCAAAUCUGCAACACUCAUGAGUAAAGAUCAGCUCUCUGUCACUUUGUGGUCCUAGUAAUUGGCUUUUCUGGAAAUAGAAACAUCAAAUUUCUAUUUCUUUUUUUAAAGAUAGAAAUCCCAAGUCCCAAGUUCUCAAAGGAAUGGACAGAUGAGUCAACUUUCUACGCCAUGAUUGUGAUGCAACUGCCUGAUUUCUGGGAUAUAGAGUCAUUCUUUACCCACCUCAAAAAAUGCUAUGAUGCAGUGCAUGUACACUGAUCCAUGUGCAUUCGCAUAUAAUAAGCCAUGAUUUCAGAUAGGUUUCAAAGUAUUUCAUCAGUUUGUUUGAGCUCAGUUGGACUUUUGGAUGCUGCACAUAGUUUCUUCUUCUAUUGUUUGGAAGCAGGUUUUGGCUACAUUCCAUAUUUGAAAUUUGAGGUGGGUUUGGAGGUUUGAUGGGGUGAGUUUAAUUUAUUUUUUAUUUCACGUUAUAAUAUUUUUUUUACUAAUCUUAAAUAAAUGCAACAUCCAUUUAAACCAAACUAAAA